rnacentral:lncRNA from 1 species
GCAGGGGAGAGGUUGAGAGCUUUUUUUUAGUUUUUUUUAAACAGAAAGGGGGGGCCGACCCGGCAUAGGAUCCGCGUGUUUUAUACGGAGGGGCAAAUUACGCUUUUAGCCCCUCUGCCUUUUUAAUAUUUUACAAUUAAUUUUUUGAUUUUUUUAAUUCGCCCAUUAAUUUGUUUUCAAUUUCAAUUUGGCCCUAGUUGAACGACACCGUUUUAGUGGAGAAGGGAAAAUUUUCCUUCCAGCCCCUCUAUGUCAUUCGCAAGUUUAAUUUAGUCCUUCGGCUUUAAUUAUUUACGGAUUUCCCCAGAU